ACGGGUGAGUAAUAUAUCGGAACGUGCCCAGUCGUGGGGGAUAACGCAGCGAAAGCUGUGCUAAUACCGCAUACGAUCUACGGAUGAAAGCAGGGGAUCGCAAGACCUUGCGCGGAUGGAGCGGCCGAUGUCAGAUUAGCUAGUUGGUGAGGUAAAGGCUCACCAAGGCGACGAUCUGUAGCUGGUCUGAGAGGACGACCAGCCACACUGGAACUGAGACACGGUCCAGACUCC
rnacentral:rRNA from 1 species